UUGACGCAUAACUCCUCCCCCACAUGGUCAUUCCCUCAUCUUGCCUCGCCUAGGCUUGCAGCACGCAGCAACUACCCCGUUGUGACCAACCAACCCCUGCCCUCAUGCCGACGUUGGCUCCGCUCCGGCCAUUCUCUCCGACCCAGCGAGCGCUCGACGCAAACCACCGCCCGGAGCCGCCUCGCUGCUCAUACGACUCACAGUCGUUUACCGGGCAUCACGCCCGCGCGGCCGCCUCACCGACGCAUCCUCGCGUGCCUGGUCGUUGCGUGGAGGAGUUGUGCAGCCUCGCCGCUCGCCGUGUCGCGCCUCACCCUCAAGCAGCAGCCCUCGCAGAGCGCUGCACGGCCACCGUGGUCCUGCCACGCCAAGCCAUGCCCGUGCCUCGACAUGAACCGUCGCCUCGCCGUCGUCGCGCAGGAGCUCCGCCGCGCAACCGUUGCUUCGCCAUCAUCCAUGCCUCGCCAAAGUCGUCGCCUUGUCAUCGCCAUCGAGUAG
rnacentral:misc_RNA from 1 species